CCUACGGGAGGCAGCAGUGGGGAAUCUUGCGCAAUGGGCGGAAGCCUGACGCAGCAACGCCGCGUGGGGGAGGACGGCCUUCGGGUUGUAAACCUCUUUCGCUACUGACGAAGCCGCCGCACGGGGUGUGGUGGUGACGGUAGGUGGAGAAGAAGCACCGGCUGACUACGUGCCAGCAGCCGCGGUAAUACGUAGGGUGCGAGCGUUGUCCGGAUUUAUUGGGCGUAAAGAGCUCGUAGGCGGUUUGUCGCGUCGGGCGUGAAAACCCAUGGCUUAACUGUGGGCGUGCGGUCGAUACGGGCAGACUUGAGUUCGGCAGGGGAGACUGGAAUUCCUGGUGUAGCGGUGAAAUGCGCAGAUAUCAGGAGGAACACCGGUGGCGAAGGCGGGUCUCUGGGCCGGUACUGACGCUGAGGAGCGAAAGCGUGGGGAGCGAACAGGAUUAGAUACCCUGGUAGUCCACGCCGUAAACGUUGGGCGCUAGGUGUGGGGACCGGUUGGGUGUCCGUGCCGUAGCUAACGCAUUAAGCGCCCCGCCUGGGGAGUACGGCCGCAAGGCUAAAACUCAAAGGAAUUGACGGGGGCCCGCACAAGCGGCGGAGCAUGUGGAUUAAUUCGAUGCAACGCGAAGAACCUUAC
rnacentral:rRNA from 1 species